rnacentral:ncRNA from 2 species
CAGUCUUGAUCGGGAGAGCGCAGCGACGCUGCCGCCGAAGGGGCACUCACCCAUAAACUCUCAGGCAAAAGGACCGGUCAAGGGAC